rnacentral:rRNA from 1 species
AGAGAGAGACAUGCGUGCAUAUCAAUAAGCGGAGGAAAAGAAACUAACUAGGAUUCCCUCAGUAACGGCGAGUGAAGCGGGAAGAGCUCAAAUUUGAAAUCUUAAAGGUUCUACCUUGACGAAUUGUAGUUUAAAGAAGUGUUUUCUGUUGGAGGUUUUGGUAAAAGUUCUUUGGAAUAGGACAUCAUAGAGGGUGAGAAUCCCGUAUUUGACCAUUACUUUCAGCUUUGUGAUACACUUUCAAAGAGUCGGAUUGUUUGGGAAUGCAGUCCAAAAUGGGUGGUAAAUUUCAUCUAAAGCUAAAUAUUGGCGAGAGACCGAUAGCGAACAAGUACCGUGAGGGAAAGAUGAAAAGAACUUUGAAAAGAGAGUUAAACAGUACGUGAAAUUGUCAAAAGGGAAGCGUUUGACACCAGUGUUGUUUUCUCGAAAAUCAAUUAAAAAAGGCAGGAUUUUGUGUUGUAUUGACUUUAUCAGCUUUCUGCACUCUUUUCUUGUCUUUUUUAAUGCACUUUUCGUUUAACAAGUCAACAUCAAUUUCUUUUGUUGUAAAAGGGUCAUUGGAAGGUGGCUUUCUUUUCGGAGAAAGUGUUUAUAGUCUUUGGCCUCUGCAAUCGGAGAGAUUGAGGUCUGCAGCGUAGAUCCUUCGGGGUUAGAUACAUUUGUGCUAAGUUAUAGCCUUUCAUAGACAACUUGUUGACUAUGAUCAGUCAUGUAGCUUACUCGCUUAUGCUAUUUUACCUACGCUUAGGAUGUUGAUGUGAUACUGCGAGCA